rnacentral:rRNA from 1 species
GAUGAACGCUGACAGAAUGCUUAACACAUGCAAGUCGAUGGGGAAGUGGUGCUUGCACCAUGGUAACCAUGGCGGACGGGUGAGUAACGCGUAAGGAACUUACCUGCGGGACCGGGAUAACAGCAGGAAACUGCUGACAAGACCGGAUAAGGUCAUUAAGCUGCAUAGCUUAGUGAUGAAAGGAGACGCCUGCGGAGAGCCUUGCGUCCUAUUAGCUAGUUGGAGGGGUAACGGCCCACCAAGGCGAAGAUAGGUAGCCGGCCUGAGAGGGUGGACGGCCACAAGGGGACUGAGAUACGGCCCUUACGCCUACGGGAGGCAGCAGUGGGGAAUAGUGGACAAUGGGGGCAACCCUGAUCCAGCAAUUCUGUGUGCACGAAGACGGUUUUCGGAUUGUAAAGUGCUUUCAGCAGGGAAGAAGGAAGUGACGGUACCUGCAGAAGAAGCGACGGCUAAAUACGUG